AACGAACGCUGGCGGCAUGCCUAACACAUGCAAGUCGAACGAUGGCUUCGGCCAUAGUGGCGCACGGGUGAGUAACACGUGGGAACCUGCCUUUCGGUUCGGAAUAACGUUUGGAAACGAACGCUAACACCGGAUACGCCCUUUGGGGGAAAGUUUACGCCGAAAGAGGGGCCCGCGUCCGAUUAGGUAGUUGGUGGGGUAAUGGCCCACCAAGCCGACGAUCGGUAGCUGGUCUGAGAGGAUGAUCAGCCACACUGGGACUGAGACACGGCCCAGACUCCUCGGGGAGGCAGCAGGGGGGAAUCUUGCGCAAGGGGCGAAAGCCUGCCGAGGCCAUCCCGCGUGAAUGAUGAAGGUCUAAGGAUUGUAAAAUCCUUCACCGGGGACGAUAAUGACGGUACCCGGAGAAGAAGCCCCGGCUAACUUCGCGCCAGCCGCCGCAUAA
rnacentral:rRNA from 1 species